AGAUGUUAAUGAUAUAAUACAAGCUGCAAGACAGGUUCCUGAUGCUACUAGUGCUCAAAACCAUUUGAAUUCACUUAGUCCAAACAACAACGAAAAUAAUGAAAAUGGUGAAGAUUAAAAGCUAAUUUGUUGUUGAAGAUGGAAUAUUGGCAAUUUAGUGGACUCAAUUUCUUAAUCUUUUUUGAGAUUGUUAUGUAUGACACAAGAUGUCUAUUUUAAAUGUCUAUUUUUUGAGGUUAAGGGUUUUGUUUUAUCGUUGUAAGACUUUUAUAUUAAUUUUUAAUAUAUACAAUGAACACCUUUUAUUUUA